AAUAAGGUGAUUCGUGGGUUUCCGUGUCCAACUUUGACCAUCUGUCUUAUAUGAAUUUUUUAUUAAUUAAUAUUUUUAUUUUUAUUUUUAUUAGAUGAUAUAACAUGAAUAAUAUUUUAUGCGUGACUUAUCUUUUUAAAUUUUUUCAUAUUUUUUUCAAAUAAAACGGACGGUUAAAGGUUGUACAUGGAAACUCACGAAUCACUUAUU
rfam:Oryza rufipogon genomic scaffold, chr04